UGUAGACUCCUGCAUAGCCUUCCAAAGUUCUUCAUUUGGUGAAUAUUAUGAGAAAUGACACCGAGGUGACUGGCACAUGGUCGAGGCAGCUGCUUAGGCAGCUUAAGCAUGCCCUGUGAAACAUCCCUGUGGGGGACUCCGACCAGCCCAGGCAACGCGGAUCCUGAGAACGCUCCCGGGUAGGCAUCUGCCCCUGUGGGAUGCCUCACCAGAGCAGUGUGUGGCAGGCCCCCGUGGAGGACCAACACAGUGGCUGAACACCGGGAAGGAACAGGAUCUUGGAGUCUGGACAUCUAAAACUUGGCACAUGUACCACCCCUAGAAUUUCUGGUAAACCAGCACCAGCCUGAAGAUCACGUUCUCAUCAAACGGUGGAAAGAAGAAAAACUCGAGCCAACCUAGGAAGGACCCCACCUUGUGCUGCUAACCACCAAGACUGCUGUUUGUACAGAAAAAAAAAA
rnacentral:lncRNA from 1 species